GUUCUAGAACUGAAAUGUACAUGUAGAAACAUGCAGCCACCUUCUGCUUAGAUUAAAAUACAGCGAAGCACUGAAUUUGAGGGAAAAAAAUCUGCUAUUUUUUGAUGGAGAGUAGAAGAACCAGUGGAGAUGAAGUAGGAUAAAGCUAUUGGAAUUUGGCAGAUGAAAUAGCUUUUUCAGUUCCAUUAGAUUGCUGGUGGACAGAACAUACUUUCACGUUCAAAUACUGCUUGGCAGAUCUGGCCAAGAUCCUAUUGCCGUUUUGUGCAUCCUAGAAUACCAAAAUAUCAAUUUCCAGAAAAUAUGAAGUCUUACUAAAUAUUUACUUUAUGUACAUAUAUUUCAACUUUUCUUGUCAAAUUUUUUUUUGUCAAAACCGAAAAUUGGACCUCAAGUGAAUUAAUUGAAAAGACCACACAUCCAACAAUAAAAUACUUAUAUUUUAAUGGCAAUAAACUGAAAAUAUCUUGAAA